rnacentral:rRNA from 16 species
CGUGGAGUAUGCGGCUUAAUUUGACUCAACACGGGGAAUGUUACCAGGUCAGGACGCAGUCGGGAUUGACAGAUUGAGGGUUCUUUCUUGAUCCUCUGGACGGUGGUGCAUGGCCGCUCCUGAUUGGUGGAGUGAUUUGUCUGGUUGAUUCCGAUAACGAGUGAGACCUCUGCCUCUGAAUAGUCCCCGGUCUCGCAUUCAUGUAGGACGGAACACCUGACCCGUGGGUCGGCUUGCCGGUCCCACCGGGGCUCGUGGAUUACCCGUCUGAGAGUGCCGGGUAUGCUGCUUCUCUCGGGUGCCGUGCAUGUUUACCAAGUGCACGCAAGCCAGAGCCAACAGCAGGUCUGUGAUGCUCCUAGAUGUUCUGGGCCGCACGCGCACUACACUGGUCCAGUGAACAAGCCUUGGUGUCCCAUCCAUGGGACCGUCCUGCCCAGAAGUGGGCGGGCAACCUUUGCAGCUGUGAAUGCGUGUUUGGGAUUGAUGCUUGCAACUAUCUGUCAUGAACAAGGAAUGCCUGGUAUGUGCACGUCAUCAGCUUGCACAGAUUAUGUCCCUGCCAUUUAUACACACCGCCCAUCGUUGCUACUGAUGGCAGAAUGAUAAAGCCCUCAGGAACUCAAGCUGAUUGGCACUCGUGCACAUCAAUGUCUUGUCAUGGAAUUUGGGCGAUGUUCUGUUGCUAGAGGAAGCAAAAGUUGUAACAAGGAGUUUGC